AUACGAAGGGUGCAAGCGUUGUUCGGAUUUAUUGGGCGUAAAGCGCGCGCAGGCGGGCUGAUAAGUUGGAUGUGAAAGCCUACGGCUCAACCGUAGAACUGCAUCCAAAACUGUCAGUCUAGAGUGUGGGAGAGGAAGAUGGAAUUAGUUGUGUAGGGGUAAAAUCCGUAGAGAUAACUAGGAAUACCAAAAGCGAAGGCAAUCUUCUGGAACACUACUGACGCUGAGGCGCGAAGGCGUGGGGAGCAAACAGGAUUAGAAACCCCAGUAGUCC
rnacentral:rRNA from 1 species